AUUGAACGCUGGCGGCAUGCCUUACACAUGCAAGUCGAACGGCAGCGGGGGAGAAGCUUGCUUUUCCUGCCGGCGAGUGGCGAACGGGUGAGUAAUACAUCGGAACGUGCCCUGUAGUGGGGGAUAACUAGUCGAAAGAUUAGCUAAUACCGCAUACGACCUGCGGGUGAAAGUGGGGGACCGCAAGGCCUCAUGCUAUAGGAGCGGCCGAUGUCUGAUUAGCGAGUUGGUGGGGUAAAGGCCUACCAAGGCGACGAUCAGUAGCUGGUCUGGGAGGACGAGCAGCCACACUGGGAAUGAGACACGGCCCAGACUCCUACGGGGGGAAGCAGUGGGGAAUUUUGGACAAUGGGCGAAAGCCUGAUCCAGCAAUGCCGCGUGUGUGAAGAAGGCCUUCGGGUUGUAAAGCACUUUUGUCCGGAAAGAAAUGGCUCUGGUUAAUACCUGGGGUCGAUGACGGUACCGGAAGAAUAAGGACCGGCUAACUACGUGCCAGCCGCCGCAGUAA
rnacentral:rRNA from 1 species